rnacentral:rRNA from 1 species
UGCAGGUGCCUAGUACAUACAUUUAAAAAUGUGAGACUGCGGACGGCUCAGUAAAUCAGUUAUAAUCUACUCGAUUAGUAAAGGUUAUUGGAUAACCGUGGGAAAUCUAGAGCUAAUACAUGUAAUGUUGCAGAGUUUUCUGUGUAACGACAUUUAUUAGAUAAUGUACCAACCGUUGUAAAUGGCGUGGUGAAUCUAGAUAAUUGUGUAGAUCGUAUGGCCGUAUGAGCUGACGACAUUUCGAUUGAAUUUCUGCCCUAUCAACUAUUGUCGGUAGUGUAGUGGACUACCGAGGUUGUUACGGGUGACGGGGAAUCAGGGUUCGAUUCCGGAGAGGGAGCCUGAGAAACGGCUACCACAUCCAAGGAAGGCAGCAGGCGCGCAAAUUACCCAAUCCAGAUAGUGGGAGGUGGUGACGAAAAGUACCAAAUGACAGCCUUGUGUUGUCAAUUUGGAAUGGAAUCAAUUUAAGUAAUUGAUUGAGAAACUACUGAAGGGCAAGCCUGGUGCCAGCAGCCGCGGUAACUCCAGCUUCAGUAGCGUAUCUCAAAGUUGCUGCGCUUAAAACGCUCGUAGUUGGAUCACAAAUUAUAUAUAUGUAAGUUUGAAUGAUAAAAAUAUUAAUAACAAUAUUGUGUAAUAAUGUGUCAACACAUUAUGAUAAAUAUUGGUACAAUAUACAUUCAAAUCUAUAGCAUAUAUAUAAUAAUUGCAUGCAAGUAUAAAUAUUGGCCUUGAAUGAGCAUGAUAUUUGUGUCUUGCAGAGUGUGCCUUGAGUAAAUCAGAGUGCUUAAAGCAAGCUAUACGCUUGAAUGUUAUUAGCAUGGAACGAACAAUCGUGUAUGGUGUACAUUAAUAAUAAGAUUGAAGUGAUAAGGUACAAUAAAUUCGUCAAUAUACGACACCGACCACCAAUUACGGAUGUUGGUUUCCGUAUUGGGGUAAUGAUUAAGAGGAGCGGUUGGGGGCAUUGGUAUUUGGCAGCGAGAGGUGAAAUUCUUAGACCUGUCAAGGACUAACGAAUGCGAAGGCAUUUGUCCAGACCGUGUCCAUUAAUCAAGAACGAAAGUGAGAGGUUCGAAGUUGAUUAGAUACCAACCUAGUUCUCACGGUAAACUAUGCCGACCCGGGAUCAGUUUGGAGCUUAUAAACUCCGCUCGAGGUUGGUCCCCCUGGGAAACCUAAAGUCUUUCGGUUGCGGGGGGAGUAUGGUCGCAAGGCUGAAACUUAAAGGAAUUGACGGAAGGGCACCACCAGGGGUGGAGCCUGCGGCUUAAUUUGACUCAACACGGGAAAACUUACCUGGUCCGAACAUCCGAAGGAUGCACAGACUGAUAGAUCUUUUGCAGAUGGGGUGAAAAGUGGUGCAUGGCCGUUCUUAGUUCGUGGAGUGAUCUGUCAGGCCUAUCCCGGUAACGAACGAGACUACAGUCUCCAUUUGACGAGUCAAAGAAGACUCUGCUAAGUGGCGGUUGGUUACAAUUGCCUUUGUAGCGGUAGUUUUGGCAAUAUUCGAGUGACCGCAGCUUGGAAUUAGGGGCAGGCAACUGUGUUUGGUUUUGAGUUGUGUGUUGGCGAGUGUUCCCUUUGAUUGAGCAGUGUAUCACUUCGUGAUGCGCUGUAUCAUGGAGAGACAGCGGAAUAUAUUACAAAAUCCGAGGAAGUGUAGCUAUAACAGGUCCGUGAUGCCCUUAGAUGUUCAGGGCUGCACGCGCGCUACAAUGAUGGUAACAGCGAGUGUCUGAAUCGAGAGAUUCGGGUAACCUUGUAAUUGCCAUCGUGAUGGGGAUCGACGUUUGUAAAUACGUCGUGAAAGAGGAAUCCCUAGUACGUGCGAUUCAUGAGAUCGCGCGGAUUACGUCCCUGCCCUUUGUACACACCGCCCGUCGCUACUACCGAGUGAAUGGUGUCAUAAUACCUUGGGAGCGGACGUCGCCUAGGCCUCGUGCUUGGAGUGAUGCUGCGAUCAGCGUAAAAUGGCGCAAU